CUCUCCCGGAAGAUUCACUCCACCUCAGCCGUAUCAAGAUUGGAUCAGCUCAUUCUCUCCCACCUACUCACCUCCACUGCCUGCUUCGUCACCUGGAUUCUCCUGCAAUCACAUUUAAUUCUCUUGUGUCAGCCGCCCGUCUAUAUAUCAAAGCUAACCACACUUCCAAGGACAGCCUGGAGGGACAGGAGAGCAUCACCUUCGCAUUGAGCCCCACCAUACUGACCCUUGGCUGCCGUGUGGCUGCACAGUCCACUUCUCUUGGAUUCACAAGCCUUCUUGAUGGUGGACUCAAUUACUGCAACCUCUACAACCUGCUGUCAGCGAGCAGCCUACUCUCAGAACCGGGCUUCAUGGAGAUGACCAAUGAAUGGGCUUGCCUGGGCUACGGACUCGCCACCUGUAAAGCCUAACUAUUGAAAUUACUUCACCUCAUCAUUUUAUGAUUGUGUUACAUUUGAAUUAGAAACUGUUUCCCUCUUAGACCCAUGUAGGCCCAAAUCUGACUAAUACUUGGUACCCUUGCCUAUAAACUGAAAAAAAAACCACAAUAAAAAGUAGCA
rnacentral:lncRNA from 1 species